AGUGAACGCUGGCGGCAGGCCUAAUACAUGCAAGUCGAACGGCAGCACAGCAGAGCUUGCUCUGUGGGUGGCGAGUGGCGGACGGGUGAGGAAUACAUGGGAAUCUGCCCAGUCGUGGGGGAUAACGUAUGGAAACGUACGCUAAUACCGCAUGCGCCCUACGGGGGAAAUCGGGGACCGCAAGGCCUGACGCGAUUGGAUGAGCCCAUGUUCGAUUAGCUAGUUGGCGGGGUAAAGGCCCACCAAGGCGACGAUCGAUAGCUGGUCUGAGAGGAUGAUCAGCCACACUGGAACUGAGACACGGUCCAGACUCCUACGGGAGGCAGCAGUAGGGAAUAUUGGACAAUGGGGGCAACCCUGAUCCAGCCAUGCGCGUGAGUGAAGAAGGCCCUCGGGUUUAAAGCUCUUUUG
rnacentral:rRNA from 1 species